AGGACGAACGCUGGCGGCGUGCUUAACACAUGCAAGUCACGGGGGCCCGUAGCAAUACGGGCAACCGGCGAACGGGUGCGUAACACGUGAGCAAUCUGCCGAUCUCUGGGGGAUAGCCAGCCUAACGGCUGGGUAAUACCGCAUACGCUCGUUGGGGGGAGUCCCCUGAUGAGGAAACCUCCGGGGGAGAUCGAGGAGCUCGCGACCUAUCAGCUAGUUGGCGGGGUAACGGCCCACCAAGGCAGCGACGGGUAGCUGGUCUGAGAGGAUGGCCAGCCACAUUGGGACUGAGACACGGCCCAGACUCCUACGGGAGGCAGCAGUGGGGAAUAUUGGACAAUGGGCGCAAGCCUGAUCCAGCCAUGCCGCGUGGAUGAUGAAGGCCUUAGGGUUGUAAAGUCCUUUUAACGGGAAGAUAAUGACGGUACCGUAGAAUAAGCCCGGCUAACUUCGUGCCAGCAGCCGC
rnacentral:rRNA from 1 species